rnacentral:rRNA from 1 species
AGGUGUCAAUUACCCUAAAGGCACCAGAUCCUAUCUGAUCUUGGAAGCUAAGCAGAGUCAGUCCUGAUUAGUACUUGGAUGGGAUACUGUCAAUGAAUAUCAGGUGUGGUAGGUA